rnacentral:rRNA from 1 species
AGCGAACGCUGGCGGCAGGCCUAACACAUGCAAGUCGAGCGGCCGUAGCAAUACGGCAGCGGCAGACGGGAGAGUAACACGUGGGAACGCGCCCUUCGGUUCGGAAUAACUCAGGGAAACUUGAGCUAAUACCGGAUACGCCCUUACGGGGAAAGAUUUAUUGCCGAAGGAACGGCCCGCGUCCGAUUAGCUUGUUGGUGAGGUAACGGCUCACCAAGGCGACGAUCGGUAGCUGGUCUGAGAGGAUGACCAGCCUCACUGGGACUGAGACACGGCCCAGACUCCUACGGGAGGCAGCAGUGGGGAAUAUUGGACAAUGGGCGCAAGCCUGAUCCAGCCAUGCCGCGUGGAUGAUGAAGGCCCUAGGGUUGUAAAGCCCUUUCAGCGGGGAAGAUAAUGACGGUACCCGCAGAAGAAGCCCCGGCUAACUUCGUGCCAGCCGCCGCAGUAACAC